rnacentral:tRNA from 1 species
AUACAGGUGGUUCAGUGGUAGAACUCUUCCCUUCCAUGCAGGAGACCUGGGUUUGAUUCCCAGCUGAUGCA